GGGACCUGCAGACUGUGAAGGCAGCACGUCCGCCGAGCAGCAGCAGCAGCAGCAGCAGUAACGGUGCGGCGGUUCCGCUCAUCCUAGAUGCGCCACCGGUAACGGGCAACAGGUUGCCGCCGCUGUGGUGUGUGAGGAACAGCGGCUCCAGCCCAGAGGCGGACCGUUAAUUGAGCGUGAAGUAGCGGUAGACUCGCCCUGCGCAGCUCCGGAAAGAACUUUAACACGGGACCAACUCGGUGUAUUCUGGGUUUAGGCUCGUACGCCUGGCGGACAGCUGGACUCGCACGCGCUCAGAGGCGUGUAGGCUGGUUAAUUACCGGAGAACACCGGAGCGCCAGUGUUUAUACUGUAGGUAGCGUCAUGGAGCUAAGUGAAACUAACCGGAGCUAGCACGAUCAACCGGACGUAAGGAAACUCCGCUUUCAAAAUAAAGGGCCAGCGUGUCCCGUCUGACACCGUCAACAGCUGCUCAGACAUGGAAACACCUGCAGACAGACAGGGUUUCAACAUGAGUGUGAGGUUGCACAAGCUCAGUCUCCUCAAUAGCAGCAUGAUUUAUGAUGUUGGCUUAUAAGCUACUUUUUGUACAAACAGACUACAUUAUAAAGACAUCUAAUCUUAAUGUAGAGUCAAUUUAAAUUGUAUUAAUUAAAAUUUAUGUUUAACUUGUUGUUAAUGUUUUAACAAAAUAAAGCAUGACAGGCACAAACACGCCUGGCAGCUAGCGCUCGGUUUGAGGGUCUGUCAUGGUUGGGUUCUAGAUGACGUGCUUGUGUUCAUCCUGACCGUCCGUCUUUGGUUGACUGAGUGUCUCUGUUCCCUGCUGGAGUCAAUCUGUCUCUGGAGCUGCAGGUUGUAGAGAAAGACAAUGCGCUUCUUCUCUCUCUGAAGGACAAAGACAAACAGUGGGAGUCUCAGGAACAUGUUCACAACUGUUUCCACACACACUAACUAAACUAAAAAGACAACGGAGACAGAAAAUCAGUCCCUGGUUCUCCUGAACACUUUGACACAACUGUGUGUUUGUGCAGGAAUCACUGACUUGAGAACAAAAAAGUUCUAAAUAUGUAGAAACCAGGACAAGAUUAAAAUGAAGAGCCUGAGAGGAGCGUGACAUGCCUCCUAAUAAAGCAGACGGGGCAAACGUACUACUGCAUCAGCUGGAGGAAAGUUGACAAAUGGCUGCUUAACUGUAAUUAGAGUAAAGUGAUGAAUGUGCAGAACAUGAGCACAUGAAGCGAUCAGCUGCUUCAUUCACCUUCCCUCUCUGUCACUCCACCAGUUUAGCUCUAAUGCUCUUACAUUAAUCUGCUCUGAGAUCAGCUUUGCCACCGCCCUCACAGCUUAAACACAGGGUGUGUGUGUGUGUGUGUGUGUGUGUGUGUGUGUGUGUGUGUGUGUGUGUGUGUGUGUGUGUGUGUGUGUGUGUGUGUGUGUGUGUGUGUUUGGUACUUGUACUUGCAUCAAAGUGAGAACCAAAAAACGUAUUUUUCUACCAAGUGGUUUGAGGGUUAAGACGUGAUUUUAGGGCUGAGGUUAGAAUUGAGUUAUGGUUCAGAUUAGAGGUUAGAAGUCUGCCUUUAGUUGUGAUGGUUAGAGUGAGGGAACGGAGGUCCUCACUCUGAUGUAAGUACAAGUGUGUGUGUGUGUGUGUGUGUGUGUGUGUGUGUGUGUGUGUGUGUGUGUGUAGGAAGUGACAUCCUCUGUGUAACAUAUGUUGAAACUAAAGCUCUGUGUUUGUUGCUACGGAUCCUGUUAAUCACUACAGUCCACUACAAGAAAACUACAAUUUGUUUCUGUCAACAUUUACAUUUUGUUUUGAUUUGAUUGUUUCAGCUUCUUUUGGCGUUUUCUAACCAGUGUUUCACCCUGUUGUUUUUGAGUGAUAUCAUGUUUGCAGGUGUUUUUCUACUCAAACAUAAGUGUGUGAACCUGAGGGUUGUAAAAGGCAGCGAUGACCCGUUGAAGACGGUUGCUAUAAACCUGAAGGCAACUCAGCAGCGCCCCCAACAGGACGCAGCUCACACAGCUCACAUACACCCCUGCAGAGAGGGAGGACGGGGGAGACGCGCAGCCUGGGGGGAGAGACAUAAAUCAGGAUGUGACCGCACAAACAACAGAGGGUCCAAACAUGUCCACAUGCAUGUGAACACCAGCACCAAGUAAACUAGUCCAGUCCUGUGGCUUGACAGGAUGGCGCCAGCAGCCGAGCCAUCAUGGAGGCUCCACCGACCCGGACGCUCACCUGGUGACCACCUGCAGAGAAGGAGCGGAGUCAGGGACCAGGCGUCUGUCCAGGGUUGCAGGUGACGGAGCAUGGUUGAACUGGCUGAAGGUGUGUCUGCUGACAAUGUCCAGGACAUGGAAUAAAGAGAAGUCGACGGUCAGCAGGACGACGCACAGCAGAGCCACAGACAGAACCUGGACGCCACCGGACACCUGACAACACACACGCCAACUGUUACAGACGCAGCGGGAACCUGACACUUCAGAGGGGAGAUUAAACGCACAGGCCUUAUAUUUAUAAAAACGAAUCCAGGGAGGUUCACAGAUGGAGCAAAGAUUAAAUCUAUUUGGCGCCAAAACAUGUCAAAACAUUCUUCUACCGAGCUGCCGAGGACCAACUUUGAUUUAGACAGAAGCCAGCUUCACCAACUGUUCUUGAACUCACCACUUGUCUGAGCUCCUCGGGGUGAAUUCUCAGGCUGGACGGAUCGACAAACUUCUUUCUCUCAGAUCUUUUCAGAGGCAGCAGGAAACACUUCCCCUGAAGGGAAAAGCCAACACGACACUUAUGUGGCGUGGAAUCGGUUUCAAUCCCACUGAUCCUCAGAAUGAUGAGGUACCGCGUUCCUCCUACGGGCGUCGAUCUGUCUAAAGUACGCCGUGAUGUAGAAGUUGUCAAAUUGGAUGUCCCUCCUGUAGCACCUGUGGUAACUGAAGCCCCUGAGCACAAGAAGGAGCACCUCAGUGUGUGAAGAGAGUAAAGAUGUGAACAAAGGUGUGACUCUUACUGCAUGAAGAUGCUGAUGAAGGUGCAGGACAUCAGGAGCUGAAGCACAUUCAGCAGCUGUUCCACUGGUGUCGUCAGGUUCCUGAAGGAUUCUUUUACAGCCUGAGUGAACUGCUGGUCCAUCCCUGCUCCAGCCAGCACCGCCUGCUGCUGCUGCUCCUGCAGAAGGUCCCAAACAUUCAGUUUACUGGACUUCACACAAGCCAAGAGAUCGGCUGGUGCAUCUGGAAAGAAACAUCUGCACCUCACCCCCUUCACAGGACAAGUUCGGCGCUGAACUGUCGGGACAGCUGUUCAACAGAACCAUCAAGCUGAUCGAACAGCUUGCCAAAGUUUCCUUCCACAGGAAUUUGCUGUGUGCACCACGGAGUCAUAACUGACAAGGCAGAGGAGGCUUCAGGUCCAGACACACUCAUUUGCAGCUCUUGCAGAGCUGGCGUGACCGCUCACCUCUGAUGAUGUCACACAGGAAGUGGAACUUCAUGGAGACACAGACCAUGUGGCUGAUGACAGGGACAGGUACCACCUCCAUACACUCCUUCCAUCGGAGUGCGAACCAGUCAGCGCAGCGCUGCACCCCGUCCUCCACCACAUCUGGACAGUACACGCAUACAACUUGUGACCUCCUCCAGGUUUAACCAGUGACAUCUGAAUGCUGUGGACUGACUCACCGUUGCACUGCAUCCUGCUCUUUGCAGUGAACUGUUGCUGUGUGCUGUUACCCGAGUCAGCGCUGCUUUGAUUCUUGAAGUGACUGUGUCCGUACUGAAAGACCAUUUCAUCUCUAAUUGACUGAAACCUUCUGCUGAUGUUUAAAAUCUCUGAUUCAAACUCUGCUUUACUGUCCUAAACAUGAAAAAAGAGACAAGAUGGUGGUGAAAUCUGCAUUCUGACCUCCAUAUUCAUGUUUGUUUUCCGACAGACAAACUCACCAUGAGCUCCUGUGUGAUGGCGAUAAAUGGUCUGACAGCGUCUCUCCACAGUAACUUGCUGUUAUUUACCUGCAGGUCCAGGUUACAGCUCAGAGACAAAGCAGCUUCCUCAAUGUUCUGAUGCAUGUUAGAAAUCGGACCUGCAACAGUAGAACAACGGUUCAAAAUUAAAACACUUCGCUCCAGCAGCUCGUUCUUGGCUCAGAUGUCGGUGUAGCUUUGAGGAACUCAGGAAUCAGAUUUAACCUCAUUUCACAGAUAAUUCUCUACACAAUUCCAGCUGCUUUCUGCUCAAAAGAGAAGAAUGUGCAGCAAACAGACAGAUCUAAGCCCUGGAGUGUUGAAAACAGGGAUUAAAGGGUGACUUGUGGAUCAUGUUUCAUUGUUUAAACAAUAAAAACAAAACCCAACAGAACGUAA